rfam:Novosphingobium sp. AAP93 AAP93_Contigs_66, whole genome shotgun sequence.
CGCAUAUUUUGCCCAGGCGGAGCUCGACCGCCCGUUCAAGCGAUGACUGCCUUCAUUGACGAGCAUCGCGAUGAGUAUGGGGUCGAGCCGAUCUGCCGGGUUCUGCCGAUCGCCCCA